rnacentral:rRNA from 1 species
UACGUAGGGUGCAAGCGUUAAUCGGAAUUACUGGGCGUAAAGCGCGCGCAGGCGGUUAUUUAAGUCUUAUGUUUAAACCUGGGGCUCAACCUCGGGACGCAUGGGAAACUGGGUAACUUGAGUGUAGGAGAGGAAAGUGGAAUUCCACGUGUAGCGGUGAAAUGCGUAGAGAUGUGGAGGAACACCAGUGGCGAAGGCGACUUUCUGGCCUAUAACUGACGCUGAGGCGCGAAAAGCGUGGGGAGCAACAGGGAUUAAGAAACCCUUGUAAGUUCC